rnacentral:SRP_RNA from 2 species
GGUUGGGUCCUGUGCGGCGAAGUCUUACGAACCCCGCCAGGCCUUGACAGGAGCAACGGUAAGUAACGCAUUUCGGGUGCCACGGGGUAACUCAGCUCUU